UACUCACAAUAAAACAAUUGAAAAUGGCAAAUUAAAUGAUGACAGAUGAUUUAGAGACACUUUUACCCUACAAAAAACCAAAAAACAAAAAAACCCACCCCCAAAGUUCAUUUAUACUAGACAAUUUUGGAGAACUACAAAGUUUUUUUAAAAAUUUAUUUUAACUGAAGGGUAAUUGCUUUACAGUAUUGUGUUGGUUUCUACCAAACAUCAACGUGAAUCUCCAAAGGUCAACUUGAAUGCUGAUGGGUUUACCUACGUCCCCUCCCACCUCCCUCCCCAUCCCACCCCUCUAGGUUCUUAAGUUUUCGUUCCCUGAGUCAUACAGCAAAUUCCCAUUGGCUAUCUAGUUUACAUAUGGCAGUGAUGUUUUCAUAUUACUCUCUCCAUAUGCACCCCCCACUUCCUCCCCACAAAGCUGUGUUCGUAAGUCUGUUAGAGAACUACAAAGUUUUUAUACUUGCUGCACAUUGGAAAGAAAAUGUCAACAACUAGUUUCUUUUGUACCAUAUCUAUACACAGGAAAAAAAAAAACUUGUUAAAAGGAAAAGAGGUUUCUGUAUUGUUAAUAUUUGACAGUGAAAGGGUUCCUUUUAAAUAUUUAACUUAAGGUUAAAUAUCCAUCUCUUACAGUUAUUAGACACAUCUUCAUAUCAAGGGUAAUAUACAAAGCACAGCAAUGUAACUCAAGUAUACUUCUUUAAAAACUUGGAAAAAUAUACUAAGAAUAUAUGAUUUAUAAUUUAAAAAAUUUAGAAAAGUGUGGGUAAACAAAGCUGAUGCAGUCAUUUGAAGGGUCCAGAUGAAACACCAUGGACUCAACAAUCUGGUACAGUCCACAUACAAACUUUCUUCUGCUGUUAAUGAUGAAGUCAAGCUGAAGGACAGAAAUUUGUACGCUGGAUGCUCCAGGCUCUUCCAUGCAACUGACUGGUCUUCUCUUGUUUUUUUCCAUCAUGUUUUAAAUAAAAGUAAAUAUAUAUAUUUUACAUAUAUUUUAUGUAAAAAAUUUAAUUGGUACAAGAAGAUUUAAAAUAAUCAGUAAAUAUCCUUUUCGCCCAUAACCUAGAAAAUCUGAUGUCUUCCAAAUCAUCAGUUACAUGAAUAAUUUGCAAAGUGAAGUCAACCUUAGAGUCUCUUCAUCUGAAAAUUAUUCUCAGGAUUUCUGGAAUGUGUUGAUUCUCUCAUAUAUUACCUCUGUUACAGAGGAAAGCCAUGCAGUUUUCUAAAAAAAAAACUACGAAAGCAACUCACUCGCUCUGCUCCGAGAGAGCAAGUCCAGGCAACACCUUGUACUCCGUGGAUCUGGUCCUGGCUACAGGCAGAGGCUCUGGUAUCAACCAGAGACUCAGGGCGGGUGCCAGAGCUCGGCCCAGCCCUUCCUGAAUGCCUCGGAUCCUCCGGGCCAGCUGCACAUCCUUCGAGAAGAGUGUGAUGCGGCCGGCGUGUAAGGAGAGCAGAUAGGCAUCCUCGAAGAAAUGAACUAGAAACGCUUCUGCCGCCUCUUGUAGGGCCAACAGGGCCUGGGCUUGCCAACUGAAGUCCACACCGCGAGUGAACUGAACACAGAUUUCUCUUGCCAGGCGGCAGAAGGGGGACUUUCUUAACAGCAGGUGUGUGGUCUUUUGAAGAGCU
rnacentral:lncRNA from 1 species